UUUUCAAUUCUAUGGUCCUAGCUAGUUUGUUCGCUUUGGCAAAUUGCAGGUGUCGGCAUAGUGAAUCAAUAUUACGCAGUACACAAGCUGGCUCAUGUGCAUGACUCGGAUGCAGGUCUAUAAAUAGAAGCAAGCCGCUAGAGAAGGUUUGCAGUAUCAACUCUAGAAAAUGAAGGCCAUUUUACUCAUCAUCUGUCUUCUCUUAGCUUCCUCAGUACUUUUUGUUCCUUCUUCAGUUUUAGCUCGAGAAUUGAAAGUCGAGCAAGCUGAGGCUCCGUACCGUAGAAGUAUAAAGCCGACGCCAGCACCAUGUGGUCGUGGUAAGAGGUAUACGCCAUGUUUACCAAAAAAACCCCCGCCACCUGCUAGAUCUUGUGGCGCCUAUAAGCGUAAAUGCCCCCCGCCUCCUUGACAUCAGAAGCGCCAUGAAGUGGUACUACUGGUUCGGCAUAAAAAGCACAAGAUCUUAUAUAAAUAUAUAUAUAUAUACAUUCAUAUGUGUAUGGUUUUCUUGGGGUCUGUGAUGGCUUUACUUCGCAGUAGUACUGUUGUAAUAUGCAUUGAUCAGAAACUAGUGGACGCUACUCUCUCGUACUUGUAUUAAAAAUAAAUGAACUCCAAGCUGGAGUCCUGUACGUACGUACAGUUUGAUGUAAUGUAUUAUAUAUGUGGGCAACUUGAAUGGGUAAUAUAAUAUAAUCUUCUUAUUAUCCUCCCAAUUAACUUUA